rnacentral:rRNA from 1 species
UACGGAAGGCAGCAGUGGGGAAUAUUGCACAAUGGGCGCAAGCCUGAUGCAGCCAUGCCGCGUGUAUGAAGAAGGCCUUCGGGUUGUAAAGUACUUUCAGUCGUGAGGAAGGUGUUAAGGUUAAUAACCUUAGCAAUUGACGUUAGCGACAGAAGAAGCACCGGCUAACUCCGUGCCAGCAGCCGCGGUAAUACGGAGGGUGCGAGCGUUAAUCGGAAUUACUGGGCGUAAAGGGCACGCAGGCGGUUAAUUAAGUUGGAUGUGAAAUCCCCGGGCUUAACCUGGGAAUGGCAUUCAAGACUGGUUAGCUAGAGUCUUGUAGAGGGGGUAGAAUUCCAUGUGUAGCGGUGAAAUGCGUAGAGAUGUGGAGGAAUACCGGUGGGCGAAGGCGGCCCCUGGGACAAAGACUGACGCUCAUGUGCGAAAGCGUGGGGAGCAAACAGGGAUUAGAUACC